rnacentral:lncRNA from 1 species
CUCUUCUCUUGAAUUGGAGUGAAUGUUUUGAACAACAAAUUAUGGUAGAAAUAAUGCUUUGUGACUUCGGAGGUGAGGUCACAAAAGACCACGAAGCUUCCUGCUGUUUCUUCCAGCUUCCAUUCUCUCUCUGGAAUUUCCCUCUUGGAUGCUUCCUUUUGGAGCUCAGUCACCAUGCCUUGAGAAACCCAAGCAGGAAAAGGUUGUGUGUAGGUGCUCUAGUUGACACUGUGAGCUGAGGUAAUCACUGAUACUGAAUAAUAUAGCAUCGUUAGAGCUAUUUAUAUACUGCAAUCAACAGAUGAAGUAAAUCAAACAGAUGAAAGAAUAGAAAGAAGAAAGAAAGAGACAGAGAGAGGAAGGAAGGAAGGAAAUAAAUUUUCUGGCUAACAAAACUGAGCCAGCACGGAGGAUUCAACAUCCCAAAAUAAUAUGGGCAGCAUUCUUAGACACCUGAAUGUCAAUUAAAUCGUUUACCAAGAGAAGAAGGAAGCAAACUGAGGGGGUGUGGGAAUGAGCGUUGAGGAGCUAUUUGUAACAACAAAAUGUACAUUAUAAAGUUAAGCUUGAAAUACCUCUUGUCUCUAUCUCUUCAGAUAUUAUUACUUCUUAUUAAAAAAUCUGAAAUGUGAAUCAGAAAAUCUCACCAUAGUCUUUUAAAGGCAUUUGAUGAUUCAUGAAUAUGUGUAUAAAAGACAAAAACCCUUUCUUGAUUAUAAAUAAAAUUGUGAUAGUAAUUGUUUUUC